rnacentral:rRNA from 1 species
CAGCCGCCGCGGGAAUACGAAGGGGGCUAGCGUUGUUCGAAUUUACUGGGCGUAAAGCGCACGUAGGCGGACUUUUAAGUCAGGGGUGAAAUCCCGGGGCUCAACCCCGGAACUGCCUUUGAUACUGGAAGUCUUGAGUAUGGUAGAGGUGAGUGGAAUUCCGAGUGUAGAGGUGAAAUUCGUAGAUAUUCGGAGGAACACCAGUGGCGAAGGCGGCUCACUGGACCAUUACUGACGCUGAGGUGCGAAAGCGUGGGGAGCAAACAGGAUUAGAGACCCGAGUAGUCCCUGUCUCUUAUAC